GGUUGGAGUUUGUUGGUUGUGCUGUGGAGGAGCUGACCAUGAGGAAUCACCAAGAUGGUCCACAAAUAUCUCCAGGAGCCUGCACUGAGCCCUUGUCUCUGUGGUUUGUCCAGCCUGGAUUCUUAUUCACAUAUGGUGACUGUAACAUUAUGAAGAAGGGAAUUCUUUGAGACAGAAAGAACUCAUUGCUGUCCUGGGGAUAAUAAAACACCAAAUGCUGGUGAAUGGCUGCAUCUUUCCCACUUCAUACAAUGAGGCACAGGCUUUGGAGAACUGAAGUGAACUGACUGUACAUCCACAUGAAGACUGCAGAUGUUUGAGGAGUCGUCUUUCUGGUUUUCUUAGUCUUGUCUUUAUCCAGGUUAUACUCUGAUUUUGCUAUUGAGACUUGUUGAUAUAUGCAAUUGUCUGACACAGUGAGACCUUUAUCUGCUGCUUAGUGACUUCUUUCUACCCACCGCAGAAUGAAGGAACUGUUGCUUGCCCAAUGAACAAAAAAUAGAUGGAAUUUACUCCCUUCCCUCUUGCAUUGCUGGUAUUCAAACAAUGUUUAAAUGAGACCCUUUUUAAAAUCUGUAAAACUGGAGAACUAAAAGACUUAAAAUGGUUGCUACAUUAUUUAGGUCUGACAACUCUCUUGUUUUAUAUUCUAAAGGAACUGGCCCAGGAAGAUGUUACGUGUGCUAUUUAUCAGAGCUGAAUUUUCAAACCCUCCCUCUGUAAGUUUUAGUCUUCUGAUCUGAAAAGCAGCUAAGAGGAAUUGGUGGAGUCUCUUAAGACAAUCCAUCCUGAGUCAGGGAGAGGGCAUUAGGCCUUGGACUCCUGCAGUGCUUUACCCCAGAGAUAUUAUACUAACUAGUAGUCAUAAAUCCUGUAUGAGUAGUGUCAGAAAAGGACCAAUGUUAGAAUUUUAUGUCUACUAUAUUUCUAUAUAUCUGUAGGAAAGACAUUGUGUGUUGUCCCUGUGAGCCAGCAGGGCCUCCUGGAGAUAGGGAGAAGCCCUAUAUCUCUCCUGAAGGAACACCAAGGUCGUUACCACAGAGACCAGAGAAGGAGAGAAAGUUGGGAGAUAUGGACUCUCGCUGGCUCAAGAGUGACGUGGCUCUCUGGGUGUCUACUGAGAACUUUUUCUCUUUUAUGACCAAUGGGCACUAUAUAUGUGUUAGAGGGGUGUCAAUAUCUGGAGGAACUAUAAAAGUUAUGCUGGUUUAAUGAAAUCUUUCGCCCUUCUGAUGGAGUUGUGCAUUACUGUACUGUGUCGCGCUCUACAGCGACAUCUGGUGGCCGUUUUCCAUGAUUACAACGGACUGUAAAGAAAAAAAAAAAGUUGAAGGGUACCCUAAAAAAUAUGAGUGAAGGCAGCAGGGAGUCUGCAAAGGUCCGGACCUAAUUCAGACGUCUGAUUCGAGGUGAGCGAUUGGGAAAAAUAAUGGGAAAUAAUUUAUCAAACAAGGAAAUGACCGUUCUGUCCACGUGGAAAACUUUAUUGAAAAGACAGUGUUGAAACUUCUGAUUAUGCGCUUCGCAGUUUACUGAUAUGGUGCAAAUCACAGGACUUUGAGGCUGAUGCUGACACUACCUUCAGUGUCCGGGCAUGGAAAAAAGUUGGGAAGAGACUAUGGGAAGUGAUAUCUAAGGGGGAUAAGACUGUUGUUGGUUUGGCUGCUCCUUGGAGGCUGUUGUAUGAGGCAUUGAAGGAAUGGAAAGUAGAACAAGAGAGAGAGGAGGAAUUGGAGGAGCAGGAGUUGGAGCAAGAAACUGGAAUAGAGGAACAGGAGGAAGGUGAGCUUGAGCCUGUCGAUGUAUUUUCCCCUGAGGAGGCUGCUGCUGCUGUGGAGCUUCCCCAGGGUUUACUAUCGUGAGAAUUAAACGGCAGGCUGCGAGUGUUCCUCGGUAUUUAUCUCCUAAAGACUAUGUUAAACCUGUGUAUACUUCGCCUGCUCAACAGCUAGCUGAACUGAGUGCUAGACCAAAAUAUCUCACGCCUGCACAGCAACUAGCAAAAAUGAAGUUACAGAAGAAGCGAAGUGACAAACAGGCUGGGUGGGCCGCUCCGCCCUCUCCCUCCCCUCGGUCAGCCGCUUCCCCCGCAACCUUCCCGCGGCCCAGCUCCCCCUCCCGUGCCCGGCCCUCGGUCGGAUGUUCCUCCCCCUCUCCCGAGGCUCCCUUGAGCCGUCCGCCCCGCCUCUGCCCUCCUUCCAGUCGUCUGUCUCCUCCUCAGGUUCCCUUGAGCCGGGCACCCUCUCUCCGCCCCCUUCGAGCCGUCUGCCUCUGCUCCAACCCCCGUCGAGCCGUCUGCCCCCCUCCUUCCCGAACUAGUCGAACAAAUGCAGUCUUUAACGUUGUGUCCUGCCCUGUCUAGUGACAGCUCUGACAAUGAGCUGCCGGUUAUGAGUACAUCUAAAAAGACACAGGAAUCGGUUUCUGUUCAACCUCGUAGCAGAUCCAGGUCUGCUUGUUCUUGGACUGCCUCCCUGCCAGGUGGCUGUGACUCCUCGACGUCCUUUGCAUUUUUGGGAGCACAUAAGAAUGAAAGCAGCUGAAGUAGGAGACUGGAAUUUGUUAGAGAAAAUAGGUCCACCUAGAAGGAUGGGGAUGACUGCUGCUGCUUCUGGUGGGCCUGUGGCUUUUCCUGUUUUCAAAGCUGCUCCUAAUUCAGGACAAAAAGACAUCCAUCAGGUUUUUCAUGGAGGGUUGUACAGGACCUUCAGUCCAAAGUAGACUAGUAUGAUGUUAACUCUUCCCAGGUGAUGCAACUGAUUCAUGUUCUAAAUGCUGAUGUACUUGCACCUUAUGAUAUUGUUCACCUUGCUACGAUUCUGUUUCAACCAGUGCAGUAUGGUGUGUUUUGAGCUACCUGGAAGUAAAUGGUUGAAAGAGUAGCACUGGACAAUAUGCAGUUACCUCAGCAGGAUCCAUGUCACGCUGUGGGAGUUGAUGACUUGCUGGGCAAUGGACCAUUUUCUAACCCGGAUUUGCAGGCAAGAUGGGACCCCCUGGUUCUUGCACAGGCCCAGCAGCUGGGUAUGAGUGCCUUACUUAAGACAAUGGAGAUGGCAGCUCCUAAACUGAGGUAUAUUACCAUCCAGCAAGGGGUGAAGGAGCCUUUUCUGCAGUUUGUGGAGAGGGUUGCUGCAGCCCUCAAGAAGCAAGUUGAGGCAAAUUUUAUGCAGACAACUAGCCCGAGAAAGUGCGAAUGACGAUUGUAGGAGAAUUAUUGAUUCUUUACCAGGAGAACCUUUGCUGUCUGAUCUUGUAGUUGCUUCUCAAAGGUUGGUUUGGUUGAACAUAAAAUGGCUGCUUUAGCAAGAGUCAUGAAGUCCUCACCCAGAUGCUCUGCUUGUGAAGAAUCAGGACAUGUGAAGACCCGAUGUCAUCAAACUGGUGGACAAUGUGCACACUUUAGGGUAGUUUGGGCCAGUAAAGUGCGUUGCCAUCGAUGUGGUAACUUUGGCCAUAUUACGAAAUUUUGUAAGUUAAGAUCUUUUUCAGGUGGUCGACAAGCGCAGGGAAACUGGAGGCAGAACGUGAAGGGGUGCGUGGAGACACAAAUACACCGACAGCAAUCCCAAGCCCUGCCGGUGCUACAAAGCUCUCCAUUUGUGACCGAUACACAGGGGCCCCAAGAGGCUUGGCAGGGAUGGAUACACUGGUAGCUGACACAGUGACUAUUUUGCUGUUUUGACAAGAGGUAUAUGUGAAGUGCCUCUUGAUGCUUAUGGUCCUAUAGGUCAAGGUUUGAGUGCUUUUUUGAUGGGAAGAUCUAGUAGCACUAUUCAAGGUAUUAAUGUUCAUUUGGGUCUUAUUGAUUCUGAUUAUGUGGGACAAAUUCAGGCUAUGGUGUCUGUUAGUGAACCUCCUGUUGUCAUUCAAAAAGGUACUUGUAUUGCUCAACUUCUUCCUUUUAUGAGUUGUGUUCCAACUGUAGUGGACCGGAGUCGUGGCACUGGAGGUUUUGGAUCUACAGGACCACCUCAGGUUCUCUGGGCUCAAAAGGUGACAGAUGAGCGUCUGGUAAUACGAUGUUUGGUCACUCCUGAGGGAUAUCACCCAAAAACUACAACAAUAUAUCAGGUUUACUUGACACAGGACCAGAUGUAACUAUAGUUUCACAGCUUGUUUGGCCUCCAACAUGGCCCCUCACUCAACCUUUGGAGUUGUUGGGUUAGGUGGAUCAACUGCUGGUGCUUUAUCUGCAAUCACGAUCACUUUAACACAUUCGGAAGGCCAACAAGCUAACAUUAGACCAUAUGUUACUAAUGCUCAGCCUAAUUUAGGGGGAUGUGUUUGUUUAACCCAAUGGGGGUGUUAAAAUUACCAUGGAUUUUUAGUGGGGGCCACUGGGAUGCAGGGCUUUAAACGCCUGGUUAUGUCCUUGACAUGGCUGACAGAUGAGCCUGUCUGGGUUGAGCAGUGGCCCGUGCCUACUGAAAAGCUUCUUGCCCUGCGAAGCUUAGUGAAAGAACAAUUACUAGCUGGACAUAGUGAAAACUCAUUUAGCCCAUGGAAUACAACUGUGUUUGUAAUAAUGAAGAAAUCUGGUAAAUGGAGAUGUCUGCACGAUUUGUGGCAGAAAAACCCUGUGAUGGCCGCAAUGGGUGCUUUACAAUCAGGUCUCCCAACACCUGCAAUGAUUCCACAAGGAUGGGAAAUAAUUAUAAUUGUUUUGAAAGAUUGCUUUUUUACAAUUCCAUUGGCUGAUCAGGAUAAGGAAAAAUUCACCUUUACAGUGCCUUCUUUAAAUCAUGAGGAACCGGACCAAAGAUAUCAGUGGACUGUUUUGCCUCAAGGAAUGAGAAAUUCUCAGAGUAUUUGUCAGUGGUUUGUGGCACAGGCUUUAUCUAAGGUCCAAGGGCAAUUUAGCAACUGUUAUUGCUAUUGUUAUAUGGAUGAUAUCUUGUUGGCUUCUGAAAAUAAACAACAAUUGUUGGCUCUCGAAAAAUGUGCUGUGAAAAAUUUAGAGGCCUUUGGUUUGGUUAAUGCCCCAGAGAAAGUCCAAAGACAGAUGCCGUGGAAAUAUUUGGGGUUGAUAAUCACCAAUACACAAAUUGUGCCUCAACCUAUAAAACUGGACAUUGAUAUUAAAACUGCUGUUGAUGUGCAGAAAUUGAUUGGCUUAGGCCAUACUUGGGGAUCACCAAUCAUCAACUGCAAUCUUUGUAUGACUUAUUAUCGGGAAUAACUUCCUCUGCCGAUGAGAGACAUUUAACUGCUGCAGCAAAAAAGGCUGUAGAAGAAGUUGAAUUGGCCUUAACAUCUAAAUUUGUCACCAGGAUAGAUGUUUCUGUUGGUGUGCAAUUGUUGAUUUUGAGAGAUAAUGAAAUACCAUGUGGAUUGUUGUGUCAAUGGAAUGACAAAUGGGAAGAUAAAUUGCAUAUUUUGGAGUGGAUAUUUUUGUCUUUCAGGUCACGAAAAACCGCUCCAGGUCUGUAUGAGCUUUUUGCAGACAUCAUUAUCAAAGGUUGCAGAUGCUUUCAUGAAAUCCUAGGUUGUGAUCCUGUAACUAUUAUCAUACCAGUACAGCAAUGGUAUUUUGAGUGGUGUUUUCAAAAUAAUCACGAGCUGCAAUCUGCUUUAUCUUCCUUUACAGGUCAAAUAGCAUAUCAUUUACCAUCUCAUCCUAUUUUGAAUUUCACUAAGGA